GCUACGGUGGCCGAAAAAAUGCUGCGGAUGUGUUAGCAACGGGUCAAGGAGCGGUCCUGAGUGGUGCGGGGAGCACCGUGUUUCUAAUCUAGCUCCACGAGGCUCGAGGAGGGAGCCCCGGCAGCCGUCACCAUGGUGAAGGAGCAGUUCCGGGAGACGGAUGUGGCCAAGAAAAUAAGCCACAUCUGUUUUGGAAUGAAGUCAGCCGAGGAGAUGCGCCAGCAGGCGCACAUCCAGGUUGUGAGUAAGAACCUGUACAGCCAGGACAACAACCAUGCCCCACUGCUGUACGGGGUGCUUGACCACAGGAUGGGUACGAGUGAGAAGGACCGUCCUUGUGAAACCUGUGGGAAGAACUUGGCUGACUGUCUUGGCCACUAUGGGUACAUUGACUUGGAAUUGCCAUGUUUUCAUGUGGGGUACUUCCGAGCAGUUAUAGGCAUCUUACAGAUGGUCUGUAAGAGCUGCUGCCACAUCAUGCUGUCCCAGGAGGAGAAGCAGCAGUUUCUGGAUUAUCUAAAGAGGCCUGGCCUGACCUACCUGCAGAAGCGAGGGCUGAAGAAGAAAAUCUCCGAUAAGUGCCGGAAGAAGAGCACAUGCCAUCACUGUGGCGCCUUCAAUGGUACUGUAAAGAAAUGCGGGUUGCUGAAGAUAAUCCACGAGAAAUACAAGACCAACAAGAAAGUGGUGGAUCCUAUCGUGUCAAAUUUCCUUCAGUCCUUUGAAACCGCCAUCGAGCAUAACAAAGAAGUAGAGCCUCUGCUGGGAAGGGCACAGGAAAACUUGAAUCCCUUAGUAGUUCUGAAUUUAUUUAAACGAAUCCCAGCUGAAGAUGUCCCUCUACUUCUGAUGAAUCCAGAAGCUGGAAAGCCCUCCGAUUUGAUUCUCACGCGACUUUUAGUGCCCCCUUUGUGUAUCAGACCCUCUGUCGUGAGUGAUUUGAAGUCUGGCACCAAUGAAGAUGAUCUGACGAUGAAAUUGACAGAAAUCAUUUUCCUAAAUGAUGUCAUUAAAAAGCAUCGGAUAUCAGGAGCUAAGACCCAGAUGAUCAUGGAAGACUGGGAUUUCCUGCAGCUGCAGUGUGCCCUCUACAUUAACAGCGAGCUCUCAGGCAUUCCCCUCAACAUGGCGCCCAAGAAAUGGACCAGAGGGUUCGUCCAGCGUCUGAAGGGAAAACAGGGUCGAUUUAGAGGCAAUCUCUCAGGAAAGAGAGUGGAUUUUUCUGGCAGAACAGUCAUCUCACCUGACCCCAAUCUCCGAAUUGAUGAGGUAGCUGUGCCAGUUCAUGUGGCCAAAAUUCUAACUUUUCCUGAGAAGGUGAACAAAGCAAACAUCAACUUUUUGAGGAAACUGGUUCGAAAUGGCCCUGAAGUUCACCCUGGAGCCAAUUUCAUUCAGCAGAGACACACGCAGAUGAAAAGGUUUCUGAAAUACGGAAACAGAGAAAAGAUGGCUCAGGAACUCAAGUACGGGGACAUUGUGGAGAGACACCUCAUAGACGGAGACGUGGUCCUGUUCAACCGGCAGCCCUCGCUGCACAAAUUGAGCAUUAUGGCCCACCUGGCCAGGGUCAAGCCCCACCGGACCUUCAGAUUUAAUGAGUGUGUCUGUACACCCUACAAUGCAGAUUUUGAUGGUGAUGAAAUGAACCUUCAUCUUCCUCAAACAGAAGAAGCUAAAGCAGAAGCCCUUGUUCUCAUGGGGACUAAAGCAAAUCUUGUAACCCCAAGGAACGGAGAACCACUAAUUGCUGCUAUUCAGGAUUUUCUGACAGGUGCCUAUCUCCUGACUCUUAAGGACACUUUCUUUGACCGAGCCAAGGCGUGCCAGAUCGUCGCUUCGAUAUUGGUGGGCAAGGAUGAGAAAAUUAAAGUUCGCCUCCCACCCCCUACGAUACUAAAGCCUGUCACCCUGUGGACGGGAAAGCAGAUCUUCAGUGUCAUCCUCAGACCCAGCGAUGACAAUCCAGUGAGGGCCAACCUCCGAACCAAGGGCAAGCAGUACUGUGGCAAAGGAGAAGACCUCUGUGUCAAUGAUUCCUAUGUCACAAUCCAGAACAGCGAGCUGAUGUCUGGAAGCAUGGACAAAGGAACGCUGGGAUCAGGAUCCAAGAACAAUAUUUUUUACAUUUUGCUGCGAGACUGGGGGCAGAACGAAGCUGCCGAUGCGAUGUCACGUCUUGCCAGGCUCGCCCCUGUCUACCUGUCUAACCGCGGAUUCUCGAUUGGGAUUGGUGACGUCACACCUGGCCAAGGGCUGCUGAAGGCCAAGCAUGAGUUGCUGAAUGCUGGCUACAAAAAAUGUGAUGAGUACAUCGAAGCCCUGAACACAGGCAAGCUGCAGCAGCAGCCCGGCUGCACUGCAGAGGAGACCCUGGAGGCUUUGAUCCUGAAGGAGCUGUCCGUGAUCCGAGACCACGCAGGCAGCGCCUGCCUCCGGGAGCUGGAUAAGAGCAACAGCCCCCUCACCAUGGCUCUGUGCGGCUCUAAAGGUUCCUUCAUUAACAUAUCACAGAUGAUUGCCUGUGUGGGACAGCAAGCCAUCAGUGGCUCUCGAGUGCCAGAUGGCUUCGAAAACAGGUCCUUACCUCACUUUGAAAAACACUCAAAGCUCCCAGCUGCCAAAGGCUUUGUGGCUAAUAGCUUUUAUUCCGGUUUGACACCAACCGAGUUUUUCUUCCACACGAUGGCUGGCCGGGAAGGUCUCGUCGACACAGCAGUGAAGACAGCUGAAACAGGAUACAUGCAGAGAAGGCUCGUAAAGUCCCUUGAAGAUCUUUGCUCACAGUAUGAUUUGACAGUCCGAAGCUCUACUGGCGAUAUUAUCCAGUUCAUUUACGGGGGAGAUGGCUUAGAUCCUGCAGCCAUGGAGGGAAAAGAUGAACCCUUGGAGUUUAAAAGGGUUCUGGACAACAUCAAAGCAGUCUUCCCGUGCCAGAGCGAGCCUGCUCUCAGUAAGAACGAGCUGCUCCUGACCGCCGAGUCCAUCAUGAAGAAGAAUGAGUUUCUCUGCUGCCAGGACAGCUUCCUGCAGGAGAUAAAAAAAUUCAUUAAGGAGGUUUCUGAGAAGAUCAAGAAAACCCGAGAUAAAUAUGGCAUCAAUGAUAACGGCACAACAGAGCCCCGUGUGCUGUACCAGUUGGACCGGAUCACCCCCACCCAAAUAGAAAAGUUUCUAGAGACGUGUAGGGACAAGUACAUGAGGGCACAGAUGGAGCCAGGUUCUGCAGUGGGUGCACUUUGUGCCCAGAGCAUUGGCGAGCCAGGCACCCAGAUGACCCUGAAGACUUUCCACUUCGCAGGCGUGGCCUCCAUGAACAUCACCCUGGGCGUGCCCCGAAUCAAAGAGAUCAUCAACGCUUCCAAGGCCAUCAGCACUCCAAUCAUCACAGCCCAGCUGGACAAGGACGAUGACGCAGACUAUGCCCGCCUCGUGAAAGGGAGAAUUGAGAAAACCCUCUUGGGAGAGAUUUCAGAGUAUAUUGAAGAGGUGUUUCUUCCUGACGAUUGCUUUAUUCUCGUCAAGCUCUCACUGGAACGGAUCAGACUGCUGAGACUGGAAGUGAAUGCUGAGACGGUGAGGUAUUCCAUCUGCAUGUCCAAGCUCCGUGUGAAGCCUGGCGAUGUGGCCGUGCACGGUGAGGCUGUGGUGUGUGUCACUCCCCGAGAGAACAGCAAGAGCUCCAUGUACUACGUGCUGCAGUUUCUGAAAGAGGAUCUCCCCAAGGUGGUGGUGCAGGGCAUCCCGGAGGUGUCCCGAGCUGUCAUUCACAUCGACGAGCAGAGUGGAAAGGAGAAGUACAAGCUCCUGGUGGAGGGUGAUAACCUGCGGGCCGUCAUGGCCACCCACGGUGUGAAGGGCACCCGAACCACCUCCAACAACACGUAUGAGGUGGAGAAGACCCUGGGCAUCGAGGCUGCCCGGACGACCAUCAUCAACGAAAUCCAGUACACGAUGGUCAACCACGGCAUGAGCAUCGACCGGCGGCACGUGAUGCUGCUCUCCGACCUCAUGACCUACAAGGGUGAAGUCCUGGGCAUCACUAGGUUUGGCCUGGCCAAGAUGAAGGAGAGCGUGCUGAUGCUGGCCUCCUUUGAGAAGACAGCCGACCACCUCUUUGACGCCGCCUACUUCGGGCAGAAGGACUCCGUGUGUGAAACCACAAUAAAGGCUCUUGCACAUGUUCCCCUCAAUUCCUGCCUCCUGACUGACCUCGGUGCUUCCUGGCAUGACCCUGCAUGGUGUGCCCCCUCCUCUUGGGAACUAGGCUACUGGAGGAUGUGUUUCACCAAAAUAAAUUCGUAAACCAAGAAAAAGACUGACAAGAGGAAUCUGACUCAGGAGAGAGGUGUAAAGAAUCCCCCAGGAUGUUGGUGAAGAGAGAUUGCUAUAUAAAAACAAUACAACAGGCUUAGAGGGCACCCAGCCUAAAUCCAAACAGGUCAGGAAGCUCCAGGAGACAUGGCUUCGAGAAAAUGAAAUUGGUAGAACAUCAUCUAAAGGAUGUACAAGCUGAGGCCGGCAAACACAGGAAGCAAGGCUAAAGAGAUACAAAGAAUCCAGGAUCCUAAAAGAAAACUGUAGUUGUAGACAGGGAAGGAAAGAAUACACACAGGUAAAAGGAACAGCUGUACUUCCAGAAACAGGUAGGCCCUGGCUAAUAUUGUGACCUCUGUAGGCUCAUCCAGGAAACUGGCACACAGAAGAAUGCCUUUGAAGCUGACCUUUCAGGAGGUGGCCCUGUUCUCCAGGGCAGGUAGCAUGGGAUGGAGAUCCCUGGAACACAAAGCAGCCAUGACUCCCCUACCCUCUUCUCUGCUCCUCUCCAUCCUCUGCUCCUCCCUCCACCAGCCCCUGCUCAGGAAUCCUGCCUGGAGGUGAUGACUUUGUGCUCAGACUUGCAGAGAGCAAACUGGCUGAGGGGAUUAGGAUGCUCCUCAGAGCCAGCAGACAAACCUGGCUUUGCUUUUGCAGCCCACUCCCACCCCCCACAUCCUCUAUCCCCAGUCAUGGUCAUGUUUGCAGUAUCUAGGCAGACAGCUCAGCCGACCCACCUGUGCAGCUUCCCCAGACAUUCCACACCCAGACAGUGGUGCCGGGAGUGAAGCUGCAGAGAAAGGGAAGGUAUUAGGGGAGAAUUAAGGUGAGGAAGUGACUCAGCCCAGCAUAAGCCUGAAGGCAUCCGGAGGAGCUCGCACAAGGCAGUGAGGCUGCUUGUUUCAGCUUUCAAGUUGGCCCGGGAGUGCUGCUGAAAUGUGACUCUCUCUGCCCCACUGAGCAUGGAGGGUGGAGGGGAAAGUUGGCUGGGCUCCUGU